rnacentral:lncRNA from 1 species
AUGGACCUCGGGGGGCCGCCUGCCCAGAGCGACCCACACCCACACUCAGCCCCUGCCGGAAUCCAGGUCAAGGUCCCCCAGGGUCGGUCCCCGGCUCGAGGGCAAGGCCGACCGCGCACAGGCUGGGCUGGCGGCAGGGCAGGGCGACCGGGCCCAAAGCUCAGGGGCCGCGCAGCAGAAGAGAUGUGCGCCCCCGCCCCAGGCUGCCCCGGACACCGCUCGCCGCUCUCCGGGCCUCCCCCUCCGCGCUCCGCCGGCGGCCCCGGGGCCACCGCCAGGGCCAGCCUCCCCGGGGGCCCCGGGCCCGCGCGGCCGCCCCGGACGGAACACCCGACUCCUGGAGGUCGCGCGCAGGGGCCGGGGGGCGCGGAGGGCAGGGGCCGGGAUCACCCGCAGAGUCGGGGCGGCGGGCGGCACGGACAGCGGCCGGGGAGGCGCGGGGAGGGGCUUCCUCGUCCGCCCCGCCAGGUAAAGGGCUCCAGCCGGCCGCCAGGAGGAGGCGCCGAGCGCCCGCCGCCGCGGGUCCCGGGCCCUCGGGGCUGCUCGUGGGGAGCUCUGCAGCCGCAGGUCGGGUCGCGGCGGUCGCGGGCGGGAGAGCCGCCCUCCGGGGCCCCGGAAACCCUGCCCCCAGGGCGCGGGAGGGAUGCGGCCCCCACGGAACGGGUGGAGCGGGCGUGGGUCUCGAAGCGCGACGCUUACCUCCGCCUCAUGCCGGUGUGUGCGCAGCCGGGCCGCACUCCGGGUCCGCCGCGCCGAGCCCCGCCGAGCCCCGAGCCCCGAGCCGCGAGCCGCGAGCCCCGAGCCCCGAGCCCCGAGCCCCGAGCCCCGAGCCCCGCAGCGCGCCGCAGGUCCGCGCGAGCAACAGCAGCUGAGCAGCCGCGCGGCCGCCGGGGGCUGGGCGGGCACAUGGGAGGGCGGGGGCGGCGGGGCUCGGCCCGACCACAGGACCCCGGGCGCGGGGGCGGCAUCCCGAGGGGCGCCUCUGGACCCGGCGCGCGGUGCCCGGCCUCGGGGCGCCGUCGGGACCUGCAGGCGUGGACAGUGCCAGAAUCUCGAGGUUACGUGCAGAAGGUGCGGGAACGGGCUGCGGCCACUGCCUCCCUCCGCUCCACCCCCCUGCAAGUCUCUGUGGUACGGUCCUCGGAGCCGCGUCCAGGCGACAGCGAGGAGCUGAUUGGCUGGGAAUCUUGGAAGGGCGUAGGGACCCACACAAAAUGGCCAAUGAGAAAUCACGGUUGUCCUACCCACCCUGCCAGCUGGGGAGGAGAGAGGGUGCGAUUAAAGGGAACUUGUGUGUUGCCCUCAGCAGCCGCCACAAAACAAAACCAGGAUUUUCUUCCUGAUCUUAUCUAG